ACAUUCACUCACCUGCUGAGUCUCAACACGACCUGACUCCAUAUUUAAUAACUAUUCAGGUAUUAAAAAGCUGCACGUCUCUGCGGACUUGCACAACCAAAAAGUGCAUCGCCUGAUUUCACAAGCGGGGGGGGUGAAAAAGCGUUUGCUAGCCCGGGAUGUUUAUAAACAAUGCGGGCAUCACCAGCGCCAACAGCAGCCUCGGAGCGACAACAUCCAGGCGAACACGCUUCAAAACAAACUCAAGUUCGUAUUUCACCCGCGCACUUCCGGAAUAAGUUUAAGUUUUCUGUUUUAAAAGCAAUAACACUGAGUCUAAGUUGCUGUUAGUCAGUGAGACCAGCAGCUUCCCACCGGCUGCGCUGUUUGAUGUGGGAGACUCAGUUUGGAAACGGGAAAGAGGAGCAGAGAAGGUACCUAAAACCAUAUUCCUGAACUUCUGCUUCUAAUUUACCUGCUUUUUUCCGUGUUGAGAUUGAGUUCCUCUGUCGAUGGCUACCAGGAACACCUCCUCCUCCUCGGAUGCCCUGGCGGCCACGAGUCCCGCCCCUUUCGCCUGUGAUUGGGCAGCUUCUACUGACUCCCUGCUUUUAUUGGUUCAACAGAGCCGUCUGUUGAGACAGUGUGCUUUAACUACUUCCAGGCUGACUUGGGCUAUGAUUGGAUCGCCUGGAGAGGUUAAAGGGUAACCAGGCGUUCCUGAACCUGUAGGAGAUUGGGAGCAGCUUGUUGGUCUUCUUCAUGUUCUGGACCUUAGCGUGCGUCUCCUCAUCCAUAGUCUUGUAGCAUCGCCUGGCGUAAUCCAGAAGCUUCUCCUUGGAGGCCUCAAACUCUCCUACAUCAGUCACCUGCAGGAGAAAAACUUCAGUCUUUACAAAGCAGGAGCUCUGCGAUCGGGGAGGUGGAGGCCAUCGUGUUUCGGUCGACUCCGUGGAUCUGGAAGGCUCUGGACAUGCUCCUCACCCGCUGAUCCUCCUCAUCUUCAUCUUCGGCUCUCCGGUGCCACGCCCUCGGCUCUUCUUCUUUGACCCGCUCUCCACAGUCGAGUCUGCAUCAUCCUCCACCUCUUCUUCCCCCUCUUCCUCAACAAACUCUUCCUCUGUGGACAGUGAUGUUGCGGCGGAUCCGAGCUCCGGGGCGCUGGAGGCGUUUGAGGGUCAUCCCCGACCUGGUGGUCAUCGGGGAAGGAGGAGAUGGAGAGCUGGCAGGCUGGA